AUACAAAUCACCCAGGGAACUUGUUAAAUUGCAUAUUCUGAUUUGGUCGGGGCUGAGUGGGCCUCUGAGGGUCUGCCUUUCUAUCAGGCUCUUGGGAGGUGUUGAU
rnacentral:pre_miRNA from 1 species